CCCUCCGCUGAACACCAUAUAACUACCCAUGUACAGAGCACAGUGAUAGUUGGCCUCGUCCUCAGGCUGGGCCCCUGUGAUGGUGAGGAUGGCUUCGUUCCCAGAGAGGGACCCAGAGAAGUGCUCAGGGACCCCAGAAGGUCGUU